rnacentral:misc_RNA from 1 species
AACCAUUCUCACCUGCGGCUAGACCUGCGGAGGGAUCAUUACAGAGUUGCAAAACUCCCUAAACCAUUGUGAACGUUACCUAAACCGUUGCUUCGGCGGGCGGCCCGGGUCCUUCCCGGCGCCCCUCGGCCCUCGCGGGCGCCCGCCGGAGGUAAACCAAACUAUUGCAUUGUAUGGCCUCUCUGAGUCUUCUGUACUGAAUAAGUCAAAACUUUCAACAACGGAUCUCAGAUCGGAAGA